GCGGGUCUUGCGGUGGAGCGGGGCUGGGAUUUUAUAGCUGCGUGGCGGCGCGGCGCGGUGGCGAAUCCCCGUGGAGAUCUGGGUGGGGCCCGGCCGCGCCUCGGAUCGGCUGCGCCCGUUGCAACAGCUGCACACGGCUCCCUCGUCGCGCCGUGCCCGUGCGCUAUUGGGCCAUGGGCCCUGGCGCCCUUGCCCUCCCGGUGAUCGAUUUCUCUGAAGGAAGGCAUCCCAGUGUGGCUCAAUGAACGGCCGAGGCUGCUGCCGUACUGGUACAGUUCUGUACUGUAGUAGGGCUGCAGUAGCCGUGGACAAGUUGAGUUGAUCCCACACCACAUGCAUGCUCGUCACUUAGACAUUUAUCCAGGUUCCAUGAACCGUACACUCUAUUCGUCGCCAACCAGCAAACAAUAUUUUUCUCUCACACCAAAUCAACAACAGCCACCAGCACCAGCCAGCCAGCAGUAUUUUUCUUUCAUAAAAAAUCAGCAUCAGCCACCAGCCACAGCCAGCCGAACAGAGCCAUACGGUUCCGACCUUUUCCCCGGGGCGGAAAGCCCACGGUCAAAGCUUUCCCUAUGCAUAUUUCCUAGCAAUUUGAAGCCCGCGUGGUGGGGUUUCACGGCCCGAUUUAAAAGGAAAUGAUGAGAUUUAAAGACCACGGUUAUAGUUGCCUCUUAAUAUGAAGAUGAAUUUUUUUAAAGAGUCAGAUUGAGAGUGAAAUAGAUAGUCAAAAUUGAUUACUCUGUUGGAGAUGCUCUAAAAAAAUCUCUCUCAAAAAAUAGGAGUCCAGAGGGUCGAAUUUGAGGGUCAUUGAUAUUUCUUCUCGUGGUAGGUGAUAUGUACAUCAACUUCGAGGUAGUCAUGGUGAUUUUAUUAAUCCAAGGUAUAUCGGUCUAUUGCCACGCAGGCGUGUGAGCACCUUAAGACAAGAAGAAAAUCCAUCAUUUUUCAAAUAAAAACUUUUAGAAGCAGAUGCAGUGAUUUCAUCCUAGAUUCUUUUCUGCAUCAUACAUGUGGAGCAGUUAAGACCUCGUGACACGCGGUGCCGAUCCGGUGGUUAGCCUUGGUGCUUCGUGGGGCAGGGGAUAUGUGUGGAUGCCGCCUGACGUGGAGGUAAACAAUUGGGUUGGUGGAUACCCCUUGGUACCCUGGGCCCUCCCUGAUUGAUACUUUCGUCCUGUCGCUGUGUUGCAUGAUAGUACCUCAUUGACAAAAUUGCAGAUUUCCUCUUCACGAGAAAUGCAGAGUUUAUGUUUGCCAGAAACUCGGGCGCGUACGCAGAAAACCGAAUGCGCCGGUGUUGCUCUCACCCUCGCCGCGAAAGGCCACGCCAUCGUGCAUGAGGUUGACACGAACUUUUAGCGGCGUCCGGGUUGUUGAGCAUCCAUUUCCUCCGUGCAGCUGUGCUGAAAAUGACAGUAUCUUCUUGAAUACAAGUGUGCUUCACUUUGGUUUCUUCUACCAGUUCUCUCAGACAUGGCAAGAAGAUUUACUUGGAACUCUGUCAACUUCGCUUCUGGAUCCAUGCUUGAAGCAUCCUCCAGAUUUAUCUCUUCAUCUCUUGUAAAAGUUGUAAUAAGUCACAGUUGUUGAGAUUCCGAUCAAACCCUACGGGACUAGAAAUCCAGAGGCAGUACGUAGGUGGGGGCUAGCCACUACAGCAACCCUCCAAGGCCUUUCACGAGGCGAAAAGCCGGGUCACUGAUUGAGGUUUUACUGUUCGCCGCUUUUCCUCUGCCUCAAGAGACGACAAUCGUGGUGUGGACAUUGGUGAGAUGUUGCUAUUUGCUCUGCAACAUCAGCUUCGACAGAGCCAUGGAGGAAAACGAAAUGGUGAGCGGUGACAACCAUACACGUGCAGUAAUGCUGAUGAUGAUAAGACGAUUGUCACAGGAUAGCAUCCACAUAAGAAAAUUACUGCAGAAAGAUUCUUUUCGAA